AUUGAACGCUGGCGGCAGGCCUAACACAUGCAAGUCGAGCGGAUGAAGGGAGCUUGCUCCUGGAUUCAGCGGCGGACGGGUGAGUAAUGCCUAGGAAUCUGCCUGGUAGUGGGGGAUAACGUCCGGAAACGGGCGCUAAUACCGCAUACGUCCUGAGGGAGAAAGUGAGGGAUCUUCGGACCUCACGCCAUCAGAUGAGCCUAGGUCGGAUUAGCUAGUUGGUGGGGUAAAGGCCUACCAAGGCGACGAUCCGUAACUGGUCUGAGAGGAUGAUCAGUCACACUGGAACUGAGACACGGUCCAGACUCCUACGGGAGGCAGCAGUGGGGAAUAUUGGACAAUGGGCGAAAGCCUGAUCCAGCCAUGCCGCGUGUGUGAAGAAGGUCUUCGGAUUGUAAAGCACUUUAAGUUGGGAGGAAGGGCAGUAAGUUAAUACCUUGCUGUUUUGACGUUACCAACAGAAUAAGCACCGGCUAACUUCGUG
rnacentral:rRNA from 1 species